rnacentral:rRNA from 1 species
UACGGGGGGGGCAAGCGUUGUUCGGAAUUACUGGGCGUAAAGGGCUCGUAGGCGGCCAACUAAGUCAUACGUGAAAUCCCUCGGCUUAACCGGGGAACUGCGUCUGAUACUGGAUGGCUUGAGUUCGGGAGAGGGAUGCGGAAUUCCAGGUGUAGCGGUGAAAUGCGUAGAUAUCUGGAGGAACACCGGUGGCGAAGGCGGCUUCCUGGCCAAGUACUGACGCUGAGGCACGAAAGCGUGGGGAGCGAACGGG